rnacentral:rRNA from 1 species
GACGAACGCUGGCGGCGUGCCUAAUACAUGCAAGUUGAGCGAUGGAGAUUGGUGCUUGCACCAAUUUGAAGAGCAGCGAACGGGUGAGUAACGCGUGGGGAAUCUGCCUUUGAGCGGGGGACAACAUUUGGAAACGAAUGCUAAUACCGCAUAACAACUUUAAACAUAAGUUUUAAGUUUGAAAGAUGCAAUUGCAUCACUCAAAGAUGAUCCCGCGUUGUAUUAGCUAGUUGGUGAGGUAAAGGCUCACCAAGGCGAUGAUACAUAGCCGACCUGAGAGGGUGAUGGGCCACAUUGGGACUGAGACACGGCCCAGACUCCUACGGGAGGCAGCAGUAGGGAAUCUUCGGCAAUGGACGAAAGUCUGACCGAGCAACGCCGCGUGAGUGAAGAAGGUGUUCGGAUCGUAAAACUCUGUUGGUAGAGAAGAACGUUGGUGAGAGUGGAAAGCUCAUCAAGUGACGGUAACUACCCAGAAAGGGACGGCUAACUACGU